UACAGAGGGGGCAAGCGUUGUUCGGAAUUACUGGGCGUAAAGGGCGCGUAGGCGGCCUGUUAAGUCGAACGUGAAAUCCCCGGGCUCAACCCGGGAACUGCGUCCGAUACUGGCAGGCUUGAAUUCGGGAGAGGGAUGCGGAAUUCCAGGUGUAGCGGUGAAAUGCGUAGAUAUCUGCAGGAACACCCGUGGCGAAAGCGGCGCGCUGGACCACUACUGACGCUGAGGCAACGAAAGCUAGGGGAGCAAACAGG
rnacentral:rRNA from 1 species